rnacentral:rRNA from 1 species
AACGAACGUUGGCGGCGUGGAUGAGGCAUGCAAGUCGAACGUGAAAGCCGCAAGGUGGGUAGCGUGGCGGACGGGCGAGUAACACGUAAUCAAGCUGCCUGCGAGACGGGGAUAACUUCGGGAAACCGAAGCUAAGACCCGAUGGUCUACCGAGACUGCAUGGUUUUGGUAGUAAAUGGGCGGGAUCCUCCGGGAUCGCCUGCUCGCAGAGGUGAUUGCGGCCCAUCAGCUAGUUGGUAGGGUAACGGCCUACCAAGGCAACGACGGGUAGCCGGCCUAAGAGGGUGGUCGGCCGCACUGGGACUGAGACACUGCCCAGACUCCUACGGGAGGCUGCAGUCGAGAAUCUUCCGCAAUGGGCGAAAGCCUGACGGAGCGACGCCGCGUGGAGGACGAAGGCC